rnacentral:misc_RNA from 1 species
GAAAUGCGAUAAGUAAUGUGAAUUGCAGAAUUCCGUGAAUCAUCGAAUCUUUGAACGCACAUUGCGCCCUCUGGUAUUCCGGGGGGCAUGCCUGUCCGAGCGUCAUUGCGAACCCCUCAAGCACGGCUUGUGUGAUGGGCCCCCCCGCGUCUUGGUCGUCAAGACGGGCCCGAAAUGCAGUGGCGGCUUCGCGGUUAUCCGAUCAGCCAGAGCGUAUGGGGACUUUCUCUCUGUCACACGCCCGCGGCGCGGACCGACGCCUGUCGACCUUCAUUCAUCGUUUUCUCGGUUGACCUCGGAUCAGGUAGGGAUACCCGCUGAACUUAAGC